UGAGUGUUAUGAUGAUGGAACUUUGAAUAGUUCUUAGUCUAGCUCUGGUCUACCGCUGGGAA
rnacentral:ncRNA from 1 species